rnacentral:rRNA from 1 species
AGAGUUUGAUCAUGGCUCAGGACGAACGCUGGCGGCGUGCUUAACACAUGCAAGUCGAACGAUGAAGCCCAGCUUGCUGGGUGGAAGAGUGGCGAACGGGUGAGUAACACGUGAGUAACCUGCCCUUCACUCUGGGAUAAGCGCUGGAAACGGCGUCUAAUACUGGAUACGACCCUUACAGGCAUCUGUUGGGGGUGGAAAGAUUUAUCGGUGAAGGAUGGGCUCGCGGCCUAUCAGGUAGUUGGUGAGGUAACGGCUCACCAAGCCGACGACGGGUAGCCGGCCUGAGAGGGUGACCGGCCACACUGGAACUGAGACACGGUCCAGACUCCUACGGGAGGCAGCAGUGGGGAAUAUUGGACAAUGGGCGCAAGCCUGAUCCAGCCAUACCGCGUGGGUGAAGAAGGCCUUCGGGUUGUAAAGCCCUUUUGUACGGAAAGAAAGCUUCCAGGUUAAUACCCUGGGAGGAUGACGGUACCGUAAGAAUAAGCACCGGCUAACUUCGUGCCAGCAGCCGCGGUAAU